UACGUAGGGUGCAAGCGUUAAUCGGAAUUACUGGGCGUAAAGCGUGCGCAGGCGGUGAUGUAAGACAGUUGUGAAAUCCCCGGGCUCAACCUGGGAACUGCAUCUGUGACUGCAUCGCUGGAGUGCGGCAGAGGGGGAUGGAAUUCCGCGUGUAGCAGUGAAAUGCGUAGAUAUGCGGAGGAACACCGAUGGCGAAGGCAAUCCCCUGGACCUGCACUGACGCUCAUGCACGAAAGCGUGGGGAGCAAACAGG
rnacentral:rRNA from 1 species